AGUGAACGCUGGCGGUAGGCCUAACACAUGCAAGUCGAACGGCAGCACAGUAAGAGCUUGCUCUUACGGGUGGCGAGUGGCGGACGGGUGAGGAAUACAUCGGAAUCUACUUUUUCGUGGGGGAUAACGUAGGGAAACUUACGCUAAUACCGCAUACGACCUACGGGUGAAAGCAGGGGAUCUUCGGACCUUGCGCGAUUGAAUGAGCCGAUGUCGGAUUAGCUAGUUGGCGGGGUAAAGGCCCACCAAGGCGACGAUCCGUAGCUGGUCUGAGAGGAUGAUCAGCCACACUGGAACUGAGACACGGUCCAGACUCCUACGGGAGGCAGCAGUGGGGAAUAUUGGACAAUGGGCGCAAGCCUGAUCCAGCCAUACCGCGUGGGUGAAGAAGGCCUUCGGGUUGUAAAGCCCUUUUGUUGGGAAAGAAAAGCAGCAGGUUAAUACCCCGCUGUUCUGACGGUACCCAAGGAAUAAACACCGGCUAACUUCGU
rnacentral:rRNA from 1 species